rnacentral:rRNA from 1 species
AUUGAACGCUGGCGGCAUGCCUUACACAUGCAAGUCGAACGGCAGCACGGGAGCAAUCCUGGUGGCGAGUGGCGAACGGGUGAGUAAAGCAUCGGAACGUGCCCAGUCGUGGGGGAUAACGUAGCGAAAGCUACGCUAAUACCGCAUACGAUCUGUGGAUGAAAGCGGGGGACCGUAAGGCCUCGCGCGAUUGGAGCGGCCGAUGUCAGAUUAGGUAGUUGGUGAGGUAAAGGCUCACCAAGCCGACGAUCUGUAGCUGGUCUGAGAGGACGACCAGCCACACUGGGACUGAGAAACGGCCCAGACUCCUACGGGAGGCAGCAGUGGGGAAUUUUGGACAAUGGGCGCAAGCCUGAUCCAGCAAUGCCGCGUGCAGGAUGAAGGCCUUCGGGUUGUAAACUGCUUUUGUACGGAGCGAAACGGCUUCCACUAAUACUGGGGGCUAAUGACGGUACCGUAAGAAUAAGCACCGGCUAACUACGUGCCAGCCGCCGCGGUAA